rnacentral:rRNA from 1 species
UACGAAGGGUGCAAGCGUUACUCGGAAUUACUGGGCGUAAAGAGCUUGUAGGCGGUUUGUCGCGUCUGCUGUGAAAUUUCGGGGCUCAACCCCGAACUUGCAGUGGGUACGGGCAGACUAGAGUGUGGUAGGGGAGACUGGAAUUCCUGGUGUAGCGGUGAAAUGCGCAGAUAUCAGGAGGAACACCGAUGGCGAAGGCAGGUCUCGUGGGCCAUAACUGACGCUGAGAAGCGAAAGCAUGGGGGAGCGAAACAGG